rnacentral:misc_RNA from 1 species
GCUUUGCGGCUGGAUCCCCUCCUUUCUAAGAGACGCUGAUUGACGGAAGUCGAUUGGCAGAGAAAACAUGACACGAAGUCGCGUGAGGAAGCUAGUCGCGAUGCUGAGAGCGCGCAAGCUUAGCGCUAACCUAGAUUGCUUGUCUGUCCCACUACUCUGUUGGCGAAGCCGCGACAAAUGAAAUUAGAAACUCGCUUGACAAGUAGAAAUGAGUACUGUAAGCUCAAUCUACUAACGAAAAAAGAAGCAAAUAGACGAGAAGCAGGAGCAUCAUUUGGCAAACGCAGCAGCAGGUGUAAGAACCGAAUAGAUUGUUAGACAAUCAGAGCGCGUUUGGUGGAUGAAGCUCGGCAAGAUUGUCGGGCUUUUUUCGUGGGUAGGGAGCAGUUUACCAGGUGGAGAUGACAGAUCAGUUGGUGGGGAUCAGUGGAGGACGCUGGUACCUAGCAACGGGGCUGUCAUGAAACGCCCCACCCUGUCGAAGUUGGACAGGGGAUGCAACUUAACAGAUGAAUAGCAAACCAUGCAAGAACAGUACGCGAGAAGAAGAAGCACAAUUCUGAAACGAGUGUCAGCAUCUUCGUAGCACACGCUGGAGAAGGUACAAAGCGAAUAAGGGCGCAUGGUGAAUGUCUGGGCAUCCAAUGCCGAAGAAGGACGUGUGACACUGCGAAAAGCCCUGGUGAGGUGUGUCAAACCGCAAGAACCAGGGAUGUCCGAAUGGGGAAACCCGGAAGC